GCCUACGGGGCGCAGCAGUAGGGAAUCUUUCACAAUGGGCGAAAGCCUGAUGGAGCAACGCCGCGUGAGUGAAGAAGGUCUUCGGAUCGUAAAACCCUGUUGUUAGAGAAGAAAGUGCGUGAGAGUAACUGUUCACGUUUCGACGGUAUCUAACCAGAAAGCCACGGCUAACUACGUGCCAGCAGCCGCGGUAAUACGUAGGUGGCAAGCGUUAUCCGGAUUUAUUGGGCGUAAAGGGAACGCAGGCGGUCUUUUAAGUCUGAUGUGAAAGCCUUCGGCUUAACCGGAGUAGUGCAUUGGAAACU
rnacentral:rRNA from 1 species